AUAUUGUUUCAUGUUAUUUGUUAGCAGGGUGGCAAAAUCUUCUAAGAUGCAAAAAUGAGGUUCCUUUCUUUUCAUUUUAUAUGUACAUGCAUCUGUUUUGUAAAUAGGUCUGUGGUCAGUCUUCUCAUGAACAUAUUAAUGAAGCAGUAGAGACAAAAAUAAGGAAGAUUUCUUCUCUCACACGAAGGACUUGUCAUGUCUUAUCAUUACAAUGAAGCCUUUGAAAAUCCAGACUACCACUUCUCAGAGACACUGGAAAUUGAUAGAAGGAGGAGUUCUCAAAAGAAUCUGUUUUCUCACCAAAGCCCUUAUGAUUCUUCACUGCAUGGUUCCUAUGGAGAGCAGAGUGGAAGAGGACAGAAUUACCCUCUGGAGAUUCCAAUGGCCUCCAUGAGACAUGGCUCUGAAUACAGCGAAGAUUUACCAAGAGCUAAUGUCCUAAGCAGAAGUCCAUAUGGAAGUUCCACGUAUAAUCCUUCCUUUGAUCCUGAGCCAGAGCUGGCAUACACCCCACCUCCUGCCUUCCACCCGCUGGAUCGCUCCUAUACCCACAGAAUUUCUGAUGUAUCGGAAGGUAAGACAUAAUGAUUGUGGUGCUUCAGAACCACAGGUUGCAUGUCAGUCUUGCCCUCCAUAAAAUAAUUAAAUAUUUAAAAUCCUUCUGGUUC
rnacentral:lncRNA from 1 species